AAUAGAUACCCUGGUAGUCCACGCCGUAAACGAUGGAUACUAGCUGUUUGAGCGCAAGUUUGAGUGGCUAAGCGAAAGUGAUAAGUAUCCCACCUGGGGAGUACGGGCGCAAGCCUGAAACUCAAAGGAAUUGACGGGGGCCCACACAAGCGGUGGAGCAUGUGGUUUAAUUCGAUGAUACGCGAGGAACCUUACCAGGGCUUAAAUGUAGAUUGACGUAUUUGGAAACAGAUAUUUCUUCGGACAAUUUACAAGGUGCUGCAUGGUUGUCGUCAGCUCGUGCCGUGAGGUGUCAGGUUAAGUCCUAUAACGAGCGCAACCCCUGUUGUUAGUUGCCAGCGAGUAAUGUCGGGAACUCUAGCAAGACUGCCAGUGUAAACUGUGAGGAAGGUGGGGAUGACGUCAAAUCAUCACGGCCCUUACGUCCUGGGCCACACACGUGCUACAAUGGCCGGUACAGAGAGCAGCCACUUAGCGAUAAGGAGCGAAUCUAUAAAGCCGGUCACAGUUCGGAUCGGAGU
rnacentral:rRNA from 1 species